rnacentral:rRNA from 1 species
GACGAACGCUGGCGGCGUGCUUAACACAUGCAAGUCGAGCGGUAAGGCCCUUUCGGGGGUACACGAGCGGCGAACGGGUGAGUAACACGUGGGUGACCUGCCCUCAGCUCUGGGAUAAGCCUGGGAAACCGGGUCUAAUACUGGAUAUGACUCCAUGACGCAUGUUGUGGGGUGGAAAGCCUUGUGCGGCUGAGGAUGGGCCCGCGGCCUAUCAGCUUGUUGGUGGGGUGANGGCCUACCAAGGCGACGACGGGUAGCCGGCCUGAGAGGGCGACCGGCCACACUGGGACUGAGACACGGCCCAGACUCCCGACGGGAGGCAGCAGUGGGGAAUCUUGCGCAAGUGGGCGAAAGCCUGACGCAGCGACGCCGCGUGA